rnacentral:rRNA from 1 species
UAAUACAGGCGAGUGGAGGGUCAAGGUUCUUCGGAACCCUAGAGCGGCGCUCGGGUGAUUAUCGCGUACGCAAUCUGUCGUUAAGAGAGGGAUAGCCAUGGGCAACUGGUAUUAGUACCUCAUAUAGUGGAUAGGUAGCGGAGUUGAUAGACGUAAGCUCCGUUGAUUGAGGAAGAUCGUGCGUGUGAUUAGCUAGUUGGUAGGGUAACCACCUCCCAAGUCGAUGAUCAGUANNNNNNNUGAGAGAGUGGCCCUCCGCACGGGUCGUGAGACAGGGUCCUGCGUGAUGCGGGAGGGAGCAGUAAGGAAUAUUGGGCAAUGGAGGCAUCUAUGACCCACCCAUCCCGCGUGAAGGAUGAAGGCCCUAUGGGUUGUAAACUUCUUUUGUUUGGGAGGAAAUCAGGUCAUUCGUGUGCUGUAGGCGGUACCUUGCGAAUGAGCACCGGCUAUCUCUGUCCCAGCAGCCGCUGUUAUAUGGAGGGUGCGAGCGUUUUCCAGAAUCAGUGGGUUUAAAGGGUGCGUAGGCGUCUAUAUAACUCAGAGGUGAUAGCUGGCAGCUCCACGGUCAAACUACCUUUGAUUCUAUUUGGCUUGAAUCAGGUUGGGGUAGGCAGAUUGUGGCAUGUCGCGGUGAAAUGCAUAUAUAUGCCAUAGCAUACCAGUUGAGGAGGCUGCCUGGUGGGCGUGAAUAGACUCUGACGCAAGAAAGCGGGGGGCUCACACAGGAUUAUAUCCCGUGGUAGUCCGCCCCCUAAGAGAUGUUAACUUGACAGUAUGGUCUUCGGAUCGAGUUCCAAGCGAAAGCGU